GGAGGUUACUGCUAUCGGUGUUCGCCUAACCCAUGCGAGUCAUAUGUUCUUCGUGAACAUGGCGUACCGCUCAGUAACACGUGAAUAACCUGCCCUUGGGACCGGCAUAACCCCGGGAAACUGGGGAUAAUUCCGGAUACCGCAUAUAUGCUGGAAUGCUUUAUGCGUGAAAUGGAUUCGUCUGCCCAAGGAUGGAUCUGCGGCCUAUCAGGUAGUAGUGGGUGUAAUGUACCUACUACCCUACAACGGGUACGGGUUGUGAGAGCAAGAGCCCGGAAAUGGAUUCUGAGACAUGAAUCCAGGCCCUACGGGGCGCACCAGGCGCGAAAACUUUACAAUGCGGGAAACCGUGAUAAGGGGACACCGAGUGCCAGCAACAUUUGUUGGCUGUCCAGGUGUGUAAACUACACCUGUUAGCAAGGGCCGGGCAAGACCGGUGC
rnacentral:rRNA from 1 species